rnacentral:misc_RNA from 1 species
UCCGAGUUAUCCCCGGCAGUCUCCUAUGAGUCCCCACCAUUACGUGCUGGCAACAUAGGACAAGGGUUGCGCUCGUUGCGGGACUUAACCCAACAUCUCACGACACGAGCUGACGACAGCCAUGCACCACCUGUCACGGGCCCAAAAGGACACUGUGUUUCCACAGCUUUUCCCGUGAUGUCAAGCCCAGGUAAGGUUCUUCGGGUUGCAUCGAAUUAAGCCGCAUGCUCCGCCGCUUGUGCGGGGACCCGUCAAUUCCUUUGAGUUUCAGCCUUGCGGCCGUACUCCCCAGGCGGGGCACUUAAUGCGUUAGCGCCGGCACCCAGAGGGUCGCUCCCCCAGGCACCUAGUGCCCAACGUUUACAGCGUGGACUACC